UUCUCCUUUUCUUUCUUCUUUUCUUCUGCCUUCUUUCUUUUUUUUGGUUGCUCUCACUCCUUUCCACCCUCCACAAACCAGCAGCUUCCACCUUCCACCAAACACUUUUUCGGCCAGUUCUAGUCGCCGGCCAGCCACCAUUUCCGGCUAACAUUCAUUCAAGCCUUUAGUUCACCCAUUUGGCUCUAAAUCAAGGUGAAAUUGAAGGAGUCUACACUUGGAUUCUAUUGUUGAUUGGAGUAGCAAGCUUGAGUAGGUGAAGUUCAAGAACUUGGAAAGUUUCGGGUAAGAGAAGGUUGAUUGAGGCCGGAGAAUUCAAGGUUGAGUAUUGGUUUACAUAGCUAACUUUUGGGAGUGCAAGGUGACUCUAGUUCCGCUAUCAGGGUCACGGAUCAGGAGGAGGGUGCGUGACAUGGAUGGACCCCUGGAGAGUGAUAGGACUAGAUAGUGCUAAACUUUGAUUAUGUUAUUACUAUUUUGUCGUAUCUAUAUUUCUUAGUUGAGAAAUUA